CUAGUCUUUCAUGGCGCGUCAGUAUACGUUCCCUACCACACGUUCCUAUUUGAUUACAUUUGUGCUUUCCAGCCCGAUCGAAUUUUAGCUGCGUGAAGAUAAAGAAAGUCUAGAACCCAAAUCCCAGACAACUUAUAUUUUAUCCUGUCUCUUGGUUUAUGAUUAUUCUUUCUGUAUACAAAGUCACAUGAAAAGACGAAGUCAACCGGAACGGAACAAUAAAGGUAACAAGGUGUGCUGUAGUGGCGUGAUUUGUUAAUCAUAGACAUGACAUCUCGAAUCUGGUACGGAUUUGUCUUUAUUCAAGAUUCCAACACAAUUGUGUUUUAAUCACUUUAAAAAUUUGCCAUUAAGCUCUGAACGUUUUGUAUUCACAGUUCACACACGGACUUUUGGACUUUUGCCGCUUUGGCUGAUUGCGGAGAUGCCAGUUACCGAUGCGGACGUUUUUAAUUGCAUAACUGAAAAUGACAACGUUGCGCCUUGAACGAUAUUUUCAAUAUGGCUGCUGGCAUUCGACGAGGAAAUGUAGUACUUUUAAUCCCGACAUUUUUCGUUAGAUAAAUGGUAACAGCUAACAGCCUCCAAUUUAUACUUUGCGAUUCCAUUCCAUCACGUUGCCUGAAACUGCAGUACAUUUUCCCAAAAUGUUUCUUGCAGCAUGUUGUACGUUUCGUCACAUGAUUUCAUCACGUAAUUUAUUCUUUAGGAUUUUAAUGUGCUUUAUUGGAGGAACUCACCAAACUUGAAAAUGGGAACACCAAAGUUUGCUGUGUUUAUUGGGACUGUUUA